GUCGAACGAGAGCGACCGGUGCUUGCACUGGUCAAUCUAGUGGCGAACGGGUGAGUAACACGUGGGUAACCUGCCCAUCAGAGGGGGAUAACAUUCGGAAACGGAUGCUAAAACCGCAUAGGUCCUUUAACCGCAUGGUUGAAGGAGGAAAAGAGGCGCAAGCUUCUGCUGAUGGAUGGACCCGCGGUGCAUUAGCUAGUUGGUGAGGUAACGGCUCACCAAGGCCGUGAUGCAUAGCCGACCUGAGAGGGUGAUCGGCCACAUUGGGACUGAGACACGGCCCAAACUCCUACGGGAGGCAGCAGUAGGGAAUCUUCCGCAAUGGACGCAAGUCUGACGGAGCAACGCCGCGUGAGUGAAGAAGGUUUUCGGAUCGUAAAACUCUGUUGUUAGAGAAGAACAAGUGCUAGAGUAACUGUUAGCGCCUUGACGGUAUCUAACCAGAAAGCCACGGCUAACUACGUGCCAGCAGCCGCGGUAAUACGUAGGUGGCAAGCGUUGUCCGGAUUUAUUGGGCGUAAAGCGAGCGCAGGCGGUUCCUUAAGUCUGAUGUGAAAGCCCCCGGCUCAACCGGGGAGGGUCAUUGGAAACUGGGGAACUUGAGUGCAGAAGAGGAGAGUGGAAUUCCAUGUGUAGCGGUGAAAUGCGUAGAUAUAUGGAGGAACACCAGUGGCGAAGGCGACUCUCUGGUCUGUAACUGACGCUGAGGCUCGAAAGCGUG
rnacentral:rRNA from 1 species